UACGGGGGGGGCGAGCGUUAUCCAUCAUGAUUGGGCGUAAAGGGUUUAAUAAAUGGCAUUUAAAGCUCUGUGUAAAAUUAAAGGUAAUUCCUAAAGAUGCACUUUGAACUAAAAAUGCUAGAGUAUAUCAGAGGUUAACAGAAUUCUAUGGCGUAGGGGUAAAAUCCGAUUUUCCAUAGAGGAAUGCCAAAGGCGAAAGCAGUUAACUGGGAUAUUACUGACAUUGAAUAACGAAGGUAUGGGGAUCAAAUAGG
rnacentral:rRNA from 1 species